GACGAACGCUGGCGGUGUGCUUAACACAUGCAAGUCGAACGGUAAGGCCCUUUCGGGGGUACACGAGUGGCGAACGGGUGAGUAACACGUGAGUAACCUGCCCUCAUCUCUGGGAUAACAGUCGGAAACGGUUGCUAAUACUGGAUAUGAGCUUGCACGGCAUCUUGUGGGUUGGAAAGAUUUUUUUGGUUGGGGAUGGACUCGCGGCCUAUCAGCUUGUUGGUGAGGUAGUGGCUCACCAAGGCUUCGACGGGUAGCCGGCCUGAGAGGGCGACCGGCCACAUUGGGACUGAGAUACGGCCCAAACUCCUACGGGAGGCAGCAGUGGGGAAUAUUGCACAAUGGACGGAAGUCUGAUGCAGCAACGCCGCGUGCGGGAUGACGGCCUUCGGGUUGCAAACCGCUUUCAAUUGUGACGAAGCUUUUUGUGACGGUAGCAGUAGAAGAAGCACCGGCUAACUACGUG
rnacentral:rRNA from 1 species